GACGAACGCUGGCGGCGUGCUUAACACAUGCCAGUCGAACGGAAAGGCCCUGCUUUUGUGGGGUGCUCGAGUGGCGAACGGGUGAGUAACACGUGAGUAACCUGCCCUUGACUUUGGGAUAACUUCAGGAAACUGGGGCUAAUACCGGAUAGGAGCUCCUGCUGCAUGGUGGGGGUUGGAAAGUUUCGGCGGUUGGGGAUGGACUCGCAGCUUAUCAGCUUGUUGGUGGGGUAGUGGCUUACCAAGGCUUUGACGGGUAGCCGGCCUGAGAGGGUGACCGGCCACCUUGGGCCUGAGGUACGGCCCAGAAUCCUACGGGAGGCAGCAGUGGGGAAUAUUGCACAAUGGGCGGACGCCUGAUGCAGCAACGCCGCGUGCGGGAUGACGGCCUUCGGGUUGUAAACCGCUUUCGCCUGUGACGAAGCGUGAGUGACGGUAAUGGGUAAAGAAGCACCGGCUAACUACGUG
rnacentral:rRNA from 1 species